AUUGAACGCUGGCGGCAGGCUUAAAACAUGCAAGUCGAGCGAGCGGCGGACGGGUGAGUAAUGUCUGGGAAACUGCCUGAUGGAGGGGGAUAACUACUGGAAACGGUAGCUAAUCCCGCCUACCAUCAGAUGUGCCCAGAUUGGAUUAGCUAGUUGGUGGGGUAAUGGCUCACCUAGGCGACGAUCCCUAGCUGGUCUGAGAGGAUGACCAGCCACACUGGGACUGAGACACGGUCCAGACUCCUACGGGAGGCAGCAGUGGGGAAUAUUGCACAAUGGGCGCAAGCCUGAUGCAGCCAUGCCGCGUGUGUGAAGAAGGCCUUCGGGUUGUAAAGCACUUUCAGCGAGGAGGCGUUACUCACAGAAGAAGCACCGGCUAACUCCGUGCCAGCAGCCGCGGUAAUUC
rnacentral:rRNA from 1 species